AGGCAUAUGAUGAUAAAAUACAAACUGAAACGGUUGUCGUGGUCUAUUUUUGAACACUUCGAUGUUACCCUGGGAUGGUCGCAUUUGCGAGGCAUUUGCCUGAUGCUUUC
rfam:Drosophila persimilis strain MSH-3 cont1.002207, whole genome shotgun sequence.